CAGUAGCUACCUUCAUGAAUGGUGAAUGGAUGGGAGAGGAAGAGGACUGGACACCCUUCCUAAACCCUUUGCAGAACCCCUGAUUCAUCGCUCUAAACUCGGUGCCACUGGGGGCUUCACACAGGGACCCAGACAUGGAGCUGCGGGAAGAAGCUUGGUCUCCGGGGCCGCUGGAUUCUGAGGACCAGCAGAUGGCUAGCCAUGAAAACCCAGGUGAGGUGGCCUUGGUUCCUCAGCCAAUCCCACUGCCUUUCCACCAGGCCAGGGAACCAUCCUUUGUGACUCUGGGGUGACUCUCGUGUCCCUUUCCCUCCAAGAGCCCCACGCCCACAGCUUAGAAUGAGAGGCUGAUGGUGCCCCUGUCCCCAGGGUCCCUUUAACAGGACCCUCUUUCUCCUUGGGGACCACACUUUGUCUCCCCUGGCUGUUGGGCACCCCUUUUGUGCCCUCUGCGCUGUUGGGGUUCCAGGAGCACUGUGACUGCUUUACCUUUGCUUCUCAUAUCAGGGGUGGGCCCCCAAGGCCUGGAAGUUGUAAUGAAUGAGGGAAGGACUAGCAAGGGGAAUCUCUAGUCACCUGGUAAGAAUUGGGAAGGGUGGGCUGAAUUAAAUACGAAAUCAUU